rnacentral:rRNA from 1 species
UUGGAGGGCAAGUCUGGUGCCAGCAGCCGCGGUAAUUCCAGCUCCAAUAGCGUAUAUUAAAGUUGUUGCAGUUAAAAAGCUCGUAGUUGAAUUUCGGGGUUAGUAGGUUGGUCGUGCCUCAGGUAUGUACUGAUCUCACUGAUUCCUCCUUCCUGAUGAACCGUAAUGCCAUUAAUUUGGUGUUGCGGGGAAACUGGACUGUUACUUUGAAAAAAUUAGAGUGUUUAAAGCAGGCUAACGCUUGAAUACAUUAGCAUGGAAUAAUGAAAUAGGACGUUCGAUCCUAUUUUGUUGGUUUCUAGGAUUGACGUAAUGAUUAAUAGGGAUAGUUGGGGGCAUUAGUAUUCAAUUGUCAGAGGUGAAAUUCUUGGAUUUAUUGAAGACUAACUACUGCGAAAGCGUUUGCCAAGGAUGUUUUCAUUAAUCAAGAACGAAAGUUAGGGGAUCGAAGACGAUCAGAUACCGUCGUAGUCUUAACCAUAAACUAUGCCGACUAGGGAUCGGAUGAUGUUAAUUUUUUAAUGACUCAUUCGGCGCCUUACGGGAAA